UACGAAGGGUGCAAGCGUUACUCGGAAUUACUGGGCGUAAAGCGUGCGUAGGUGGUGAGUUAAGUCUGUCGUGAAAGCCCCGGGCUCAACCUGGGAAUGGCGAUGGAUACUGGCUCGCUAGAGUGCGGUAGAGGAGAGUGGAAUUCCCGGUGUAGCAGUGAAAUGCGUAGAGAUCGGGAGGAACAUCAGCGGCGAAGGCGGCGCUCUGGGCCGGUACUGACACUGAGGAGCGAAAGCGUGGGUAGCAAACAGG
rnacentral:rRNA from 1 species